rnacentral:rRNA from 1 species
UACGGAGGGAGCUAGCGUUAUUCGGAAUUACUGGGCGUAAAGCGCACGUAGGCGGCUUUGUAAGUUAGAGGUGAAAGCCUGGAGCUCAACUCCAGAACUGCCUUUAAGACUGCAUCGCUUGAAUCCAGGAGAGGUGAGUGGGAAUUCCGAGUGUAGAGGUGAAAUUCGUAGAUAUUCGGAAGAACACCAGUGGCGAAGGC